GUGCUUGCUUCAGCAGCAUAUAUACAAAAAUUGUAAAGAUACAAUGAAAACUAGUAUGGUCCUGCACAAAAAUGAAAUGAUAAAAAAAAAAGAGAGACCUGGCUAUU